rnacentral:misc_RNA from 1 species
GAAAUGCAAUAAGUAAUGUGAAUUGCAGAAUUCAGUGAAUCAUCGAAUCUUUGAACGCACCUUGCGCUCCUUGGUAUUCCUUGGAGCAUGCCUGUUUGAGUAUCAUGAAAUCUUCAAAGUAAAUCUUUUGUUAACUCAAUUGGUUUCUACUUUGGUAUUGGAGGUCUUUGCAGCUUCACACCUGCUCCUCUUUGUUCAUUAGCUGGAUCUCAGUGUUAUGCUUGGUUCCACUCGGCGUGAUAAGUUAUCUAUCGCUGAGGACACUGUAAAAGGUGGCCAAGGUAAAUGCAGAUGAACCGCUUCUAAUAGUCCAUUGACUUGGACAAUACUUUUAUGAUCUGAUCUCAAAUCAGGUAGUACUACCCGCUGAACUUAAGC